UACAGAGGGGGCAAGCGUUGUUCGGAAUUACUGGGCGUAAAGCGCGUGUAGGCGGCCCGUUAAGUGGGGUGUGAAAGCCCGGGGCUCAACCCCGGGACGCCGCUUCAAACUGGCGGGCUUGAGGACGGAAGAGGGGAGUGGAAUUCCUGGUGUAGCGGUGAAAUGCGCAGAUAUCAGGAGGAACACCGGUGGCGAAGGCGGCUCUCUGGGCCUGUCCUGACGCUCAGGCGCGAAAGCUAGGGGAGCAAACAGG
rnacentral:rRNA from 1 species